ensembl:snRNA U6 U6 spliceosomal RNA
GUGCUUACUUCAGCAGCACAUAUACUAAAAUUGGAAUAAUACAGAGAAGAUUAGCAUGGCCCCCAAAGGAUGACAUGGAAAUUCAUGAAGUGUUCCAUAUAUUU